AUGGUGGGCGCUGGUCGGGAGCGCGCCGAGGCCCCUUCUUCGUCGGCGCAUGGUGCGAGGUCUUCCAUUCCACACGCACCUCUCCGCCGAGUGUUGCUGGACAGUAUGGCGACACCGUCGGGCCCUUCUUCGUCGACCGCGGUGCCCAGCAGGGGACGAGGUAAGAAGAAGAGAGGAGGUGGAGCACGUGGUCGCGGGAGAGAAGGUAGGGUGACUCUUACGGCGCCUUCCUCGCCGCCGCCCCCAGCUGUUUCACCCGAGCACGUGACUGCUAGGGUGGACUCGUCUGAGGAGGAGGCUGCACAGACUCCGGUCCACGAGCCUCUGGUCCACGGGUCUUCGGCCCAUGAGCCUCGGGUCGACGGGCCUUCGGCCCACGAGACUUGGGCCCACGAGACCCCGGAGGAGCACACGUCUGGAUGGGGUAACUGGUCGGGUCAGCCUAAGGAGCCGAGUGGCCAUGCUGAUGAUGGCGGGGAGCCGAGUGGCCAUGCUGAUGAUGGCGGGGAGCCGAUUGAUUUUGAGGAGGAGGGGGAGGAGGGGGGCAACGUCUACCAGCAUGGUGCUACACGGCUCCCGUCCGUGCCGGCGACCCGCGAGAAGAGGUGGUUGAUUUUCCCUGAUGGGGAGAGGGGUUGGGACCACCAUGAAAGUGUCCGCCGGCCCAAGUACGUCCUUGGAGUUCUGAUUCGGCAAAACUUCCCGGGGUUUGUCACGUUGCCUGGUGAGGGUCGGCUUCCAGAGGUUGGAUUGACUUGGGAGCACUACUUGGCUGCCCCGGCCCCGCCGGGUGAGAUUAUCGACGGUGUCUUGUGCAAGACGAGGGCAGACGUGGUGAUCAGAAAGUUCUAG
rnacentral:rRNA from 1 species